CCUACGGGAGGCAGCAGUGGGGGAUAUUGCACAAUGGGGGAAACCCUGAUGCAGCGACGCCGCGUGUGGGAAGACGGUCCUCUGGAUUGUAAACCACUGUCCCCAGGGACGAAGAUGACGUAACCUGGGGAGGAAGCUCCGGCUAACUACGUGCCAGCAGCCGCGGUAAUACGAGGGGAGCGAGCGUUGUCCGGAAAUACUGGGGGAAAGGGGAGCGUGGGGGGGGGUGCAAGUUGGGUGUCAAAACUACCGGCUCAACUGGUAGUCGCACUCAAAACUGCAGGUCUUGAGUGAAGUAGAGGCAGGCGGAAUUCCUAGUGUAGCGGUGAAAUGCGUAGAUAUUAGGAGGAACACCAGUGGCGAAGGCGGCCUGCUGGGCUUUUACUGACGCUGAGGCUCGAAAGUGUGGGGAGCAAACAGGAUUAGAUACACCAGUAGUC
rnacentral:rRNA from 1 species